UAACACUGUAAGUUAUAGUCUUGUUUUAGUUUUAAUUGUUUCUCAAAAAAAAUCUACAGUUUUAUUUCAAUAUCUUUGAUCACUGAAUUUUUGUUUUACUAAAAAAAAACAAUAAAAAAAAAAUGACACAUGUAUUUGUAAAUUUGAUUGAAAUUUUGAUUCAUUUAAAACUUUUUUAUACAGAAGAAAAUCAUGGAUAUAUUUUGACAGGAUUGGACAUAUUUUAAGAUAAUGACACAUUUUUUGGAGUGUUACAUACAUUUGAUGAACACAAUUUUAAUGGCAAUGUUUAUGUUAAAAUAUUUCUCAAUAGAAAUGUAUGUGUGGUAUGUUUAUUAAAAUACAUAUAUAAUAUAUAUGUAAGAGCUUUGUACAAACAAUACAAUUACGUGUUUUUGUUUUAACUACCUCGAUAUAAUAUGUCAUCCUAUGUAUAUUCCAUGCUAUUCAUUGGUGUGUCGUUCUUACACACGUUAUACAUAAUAUUCAUCCGUGUGUUGUUCUUGGACACUUUAUUUUAGACAAUUUAUACAUACUAUUAGUUUAUCUGUUUAUUUUGUUAGAACUUUACCACUCACACAUUGUAAUUAGUCAACAUAAAAUGUUGUUGUAUAUAUGUAUAUAAGUCAUAAAUUCAUUAUUUAUAUAACAGCAUUACAGAUAUUGAGAUAAGUUGAAAGUAAGGUUGAAUUUUUAAUGUUUUCUAAAAAAAUGUUGGUUUACAGAUGCCUGACUGUUAUAAGAUCAGAUUUUUCCUUUAUUAGAAUAUAAUGAGUUAAAUUUAAACCAUGCUGUUAUGAGAUAUACCUUAAAUCAAUGCAAAUGGUAAAUUUAUCUGUAUCUUUGGUUAAAAUUGAUCAUCUCCUAAAACCGAUAUUAGAAUGAUAAUUCAAUUUUGCAUCCUACAGAUAAGAAUCUUAAAGUUCUUUAUCAGUUAUUCACGAUAAUAAAAAAAAUAUGAGAUUGAUUAAUUUAAUUUUCAAACAAUAAUACCAUUAUAUCAGAUUUUAAAUUUAAAAAAAUGUUUUACUGUUUAAUAUAAUUAUGAAAUGAUAUUGGGUAAAAGUGAUGUUCACAGUACAGUAUCUUGUUACUCUUAUCAUUCUUGGCAAAAUAAUUUGGAAACAAAGAGUUUUUUGCCAGUGGACAGUGGUCAUUUAACACAAAAUGAAUCUGUUUCUUCAAAAUCCAUUAAAUAUUCGAUUUCUGAAGUUGAUAUUUAAUAGAUUUAGUAUUUAUGUUUGACUACUUAUGUUGUCUUAAUUUCCUAUGAAAUAAAUCAGAGAGAGUGAUUUUACAAGUUUAUUGUAUUCAGAUUUGAAAAUAAGCCCAUACAUUUAUGUUUUUGGAACAAAUUUUAUGAAAUAAUCUUUAGAGUUAUGAAAUAUAUUAUGUUAAAUAGCCUCUGGAAUAAGAUAUAACAAUUAUUUUACCAUUUUACCUUUGUACAGACUGAUGACUAUUCUAUUUUAGGAUAAUUUAGAUUUGGGUGCUCUCUGACACCUAUGUAGAUAUGUUAAAUAACUUGAUAGUAUUUGUGUAUGAAAGAUACAGACUGUAUUAUAAAUAAAUAGUAAGGAGUAUCCUAAAUAGGUUUACCUUCUACUUCAAUUACAUAAAUGAAAUAAAAUUGAUGAGAUCAAAAUAUAUAUUUACCCCAGGUCUUCCUAUAGAAAAAUGUAUACUUCCAGUGUUAAACAUUAUGGUUGUUUUAUCAAUGGCAAAAAUGGUGAAUGAGAUUUCUCUCAUUAUUUUAAGAGGAGUUCACUUCAAAAACAAUGUUUUCAUUGUAAAUAAAUGCCUUUAUAUAUGUUUAUUAAUUAGCAAUAUGUGAUCUAAGUUCCUGAAGGUUUGCAAAUACUUUAAGGUUUUUGUUAAGAAUUUAUUAGUUUUUGUUUUAUUAUUUUAUGCUCUUCAAAGUCCAAAGGAUAAAGGCCACAACUUAUAUAUCACAGCUGAAAAUUGAUGUCAUAGUUAAGGUUUUAUUUUAAGUUGAUUUAGUUCAAAAUAUUACCAUUGUUUUUGGUGUUUAAAAGUUGAUUUUAAGCGUAAAGUUUACAUUUUUAAUGCAUUUUGUAUUUUGUGUUGGAAUACACAGUCUGAAAAUAAGUGGAUGUACAGGUUGUUUUAUAUCUCAAAUUCAGAUAAUAUAACAUUAAGAUGACUUUGAUCCAAAUUGAAGCCAAGAAGCAUGAUAAUUAUAUUUAUUUCCUUUGUCUAUAUUGGCACGGUGUAGAAAUGAAUUAAAUAAUAAAAAGGAAGUUUCAUGUUUGAUCCUUCUUUAUAACCUUUGAAAGUAUGUUUUUACUAUAAUAAAACUAGUAUUUGUAAAAUUGCAGACAAUUCGAAGAGUUUUCCUGAAAUAUUCAUUUUGUUAACAGAAAAUUUUACUUUUAUUAACACCAUUAAGGAUCUAUAGUUGAGAUACUCAAUUCAAUUAUAAAAGAACAUGUUUUUUUAAAAGGAGAAUUAUUUUAGUGUAACAACCAAAUCUGUACAUUGGAAAUUCUGCAGUGCCUGAAUGGUGAAAUUUUUACUUUUCCACUCUGACAUAAUAAAGGAGGUUAUCUCCCUUUUAUCGUUCUUAAAGAAGUUAUUAUCUCCCUUUGUUAUGUUAGAUUUCAGCAAACCAAGUCUUAGCAUAUUUAUUCACCUGUUUAUGAAAACGUUUAUUGUUAGUGAUGGUAAUGUUAGAUGUUCAUUACUGGUAAUGGACUUUGGUUAAUAUAUUAUUGUGUCAAACAUUUAAGUCAUAUAAAGGUUGUAGCAUUACAAAGUUAGUAAUUCAUUUUUUUUUUCAAAAUAGUUUGUGGAACAAACAUAACCUAUUGUCAUCCUUUACAAUGAAUUGUCAUUGGAAUUUUAUAAUAAAAUAUGUCAAGAAA
rnacentral:lncRNA from 1 species